rnacentral:lncRNA from 1 species
CCCCCGCCCUUUAUUCAAAUAGGAAGCAGUGGCCUUUAUGUUGAGAGUGUAUAGGGGUGACCAGAUGCCUCAGUUCCUUGUCACUUUUUGCUGCCUUUGCUACAUUCCUGACUUAUAACGGCUCCAUUAAGGCUUAGGGGAGUCCACACUUUGGUGGGGGCCUUUGAUUAGUAGCAUGGAGGGACACGAGAGCCAGGGUGAUAGGGGCAUUGAGGGCGUGGGGUUUCUCCGUCAACAAGACAAACAGCAAAGUGGACAGAAAGCCUGAAAUUUGAGACAAACAGCAAAGUGGACAGAAAGCCUGAAGAAGAGGUGCUGGAAAUUGAAAUUUGUUACUAUUAUUUUGAAACUUCUUUUUUAAUAGUUUUUCUAAGUGUUUUUGUUAAGUAUUGUGUGUGGUUGUAAAGGGGACCAAGAUCUCCUGAGGGACAGGAAUUAGCCUGCCGCCUCCUUCUGUGGGGAUGGCAGAGGCACUGUGCAGACCAGCUGGGUAUCCCUGCUGAUGGUGGUGCCUCGGCUGCUGCCCUGGAAACCAGAGACUCGUAGUUGCCGCGCAUCACAUUCUUGUACAGCUCCUUCUGCCACUCAGACAGGUUCCCCCACUCCUGCUCCGAGAAAUGGACGGCCACGUCGUCGAACGUCACAGGGACCUGAAACCACACAACUGCUCAGUGUGGACCCACUGGAAGGCGUCAUAGGGCCUGGGGCUGCCAGAUCCCAAAGCCAAGAACAGCUCUGGCCCCCUGGGCUUGGGUCAAAACUCUCAGGCCUGGAGCAGAAAAGGCCCAGCUAUGAGUUUUCACCAGGGACCUCUCUAGAAAUCAGAAGGCUUCAGCCACUGUCGUGGCCUGAGACAGUCAGGGCCCCGGGCUGUCUGGUCCCCUUCUCCUCUGACAGGAUAAUCCCUGCUGCUGUAAAGCGUGGUCUGCAGACCAGCAAUGGCACCACCAGAGAACAUGCUGGAAAUGUAGACUCUCGGGCCCUACGCCAGACCAGCUGA